ensembl:snRNA U6 U6 spliceosomal RNA
GUGCUCACUUUGGCAGCACAUAUAGAAAGUUGGAAUGAUACAGAGAUUACCAUGGCUCUUGCACAAGGAUGCAUGUACAUUCACGAAGUGCUCCAUAUAGCA